CAGUAGCCGCGGUAAUACGUAGGUGGCAAGCGUUGUCCGGAAUUAUUGGGCGUAAAGGGCUCGCAGGCGGUUUCUUAAGUCCGAUGUGAAAGCCCCCGGCUCAACCGGGGAGGGUCAUUGGAAACUGGGAAACUUGAGUGCAGAAGAGGAGAGUGGAAUUCCACGUGUAGCGGUGAAAUGCGUAGAGAUGUGGAGGAACACCAGUGGCGAAGGCGACUCUCUGGUCUGUAACUGACGCCGAGGAGCGAAAGCGUGGGGAGCGAACAGGAUUAGAUACCCCGGUAGUCCCUGUCUCUUAUAC
rnacentral:rRNA from 1 species